ACAGUGGCAGGGAAGCUCCGCAAACCCGCGCCUGUCGCUUCCGCUAGCGCAGCCCGCGCGACGCGAGCCACUCGCUCGUUGGCAACACAAAUCCACUAGCAUUAGCUCGCCGUCCGGCCAUGGUCGCCGCGGCCUUCGCGUCGACCUCCUCCGCCGCCGCCGCCGCCGCGUACUCCUCCUUGGCUCCGAACCCGACAGCGCGAGACCCGGUUAGGAGGCGCACUCCUUCACUCGUGACAGCCACCAACCGCCACGUGCACGGACGCACCGCGACCAGUAUCCGCCAGGCUCGCCCCCACGACCGGUUCGUAAACCCUCCUCGCCCCCUAUUCGCGGCGGCGGCGGCGGCGGCGGAAGCGGAGGAGAUGGCCGCGGAGACGAGCACCGGCACCAAGCCCUUCGCGGUCCUCUUCGUCUGCCUCGGGAACAUUUGUAGGAGCCCAGCUGCUGAGGCGGUCUUCCGGAACCUCGUAAACAAGCGUGGGCUUGAUUCCAAGUUUCUCAUAGACUCUGCUGGUACGAUCGGUUAUCACGAGGGAAAUAAAGCUGACUCAAGGAUGAUAGCAACUUCCAAGAAGCGGGGGAUCGAGGUGACCUCGAUAUCCAGGCCUACCAGACCCUCAGACUUCCGAGAUUUUGAUCUCAUCCUUGCAAUGGAUAGGCAGAACUAUGAAGACAUUUUGAGCUCAUUUGAGAGAUGGAAAAAGAAGGAGCCCCUCCCAGACAGUGCACCUAAGAAGGUUAAGCUGAUGUGCUCCUAUUGCAAGCGACAUAAGGAGUCCGAAGUCCCAGACCCUUACUAUGGAGGUGCUAAGGGAUUCGAGAAGGUACUGGAUCUACUGGAAGAUGCAUGCGAGUCGUUACUUGAUGACAUCCUGGCGGAAAAUGCAAACAUUUCUGCUUGAUAUCAGAAUGAAUAGCCAGUGUGCACAUACCCUUGGCUUGCCAACACAUCGUUCAUUCUGCCAGAAGAGAUGAUAAAUUCGACGCAAGCAUCUUUGAGCAUGCUGCAGUGAUGCUGAUCAGCCAGAGCCAAUGUGGUCGCCACACUCUCAACAUCAAUACUCUUGCAGAGAAUGCUUUGGCAUAACAUCUUCAUCCUUUCGAUUGCAUACCUAUCUGCAGCCACGAUGAAGCAGGGCUUUGAAAAUAGCAGGCUGGAUGUCUUCAAUUUCUAUGUUUGGCAUCGACUUGUCACUCAUUGGCCCGUAGAACUGCGCCUUGAAUACUGGGGAUCGCAUUGCGAGGAUGAUCUUGUGAGCAGGGAAUGCCUCACCUUUAAGCUUGAAAACCACAUCAGCUUCAUCCUGUGCCUCCAGCAAUUUGCCCAGAUUAUCUGACAAGUCAGAGGGUGGCACCAGGGCCUCAAAGACCGAUGAGGUCUGCCUCACCCGUGGUUCCUCGAUGACAGUGAUUUCACACUUGAUCACGAGGCGGUCAUCCCGCAGGUAUGGUGAUGCUUCCAGCUCGCUCCUUUUCAUGAACUUUGAGUAGCCCCGAUAGGAUCCAGCUUUUAAUAAUGUUGGCGUUUCCUGGGAGACCCCUGACAAGGGCUGCCCGGAGUCCUCCUUCACCAGGCUCAAGUCCGAGAGGACCCUCACCUCGCCAUCAUUGCUGAUGAGCUCAACAAAGGCGGAGACGUACUCUUUGUCCUCCUUGUAACCAUCAGGGUAGUAGCGGAUGCACCAUUCGUAGCCGCCAACGGAGAAGGUAUCGGAACAUAUAUAAUUGCCUCUACCAAUGCCCUUGUGCAGGCUGUACCCAAUGAUCUCGAACGAGUGUGUGCCCCGCGCUAUCCCCAGGGUGCACCUCGACGAUGUGUUCACAACUUGCCUCUGGGUUGCAACCAUCCUGGGAGAUAGUGGAACUAGGCGGGUUGGCGUUUGGGGGCGGUGGAGGGCGGCGGGGCGGUAGGGUUAAGGAGGGCGGGGCGGUAGGGUUAAGGAGCGCAGCGCAAGAACUGGACUGAGAGAAUAUUUGGACGACAGAGAGAAGUAGAGGCGGAGGUGUAGAGCAUUUCCAGCAAGAUGGUCUAUAUCUCAUCAUCUGUAUUUCUAUAUAUACUGUGAAUUAAAAAGAUUUCAUCAUUUA